CCCUGGCGUCUGUGGAGGUCGUUCCCCUCCGGCCGGCGGGGCCAGGGACGGACCGUCCUCCUCACCUCAGCCAGUAGGUGUUUGUCGCGUUUCCGCGCUUCCUCACCUCAGCCAGUGGGUGUUUUGUUUCCGCGCUUCCUCACCUCAGCCAGUAGGUGUUUCUCGAGUUGCCGCCCUUUCUCUCCUCAGUCACUAGGUGUUUGUCGCGUUUCCGCGCUUCCUCACCUCAGUCAGUAGGUGUUUCUGGAGUUUCCGUGCUUCCUCACCUCAGCCAGUGGGUGUUUGUCGCGUUUCCGCGCUUCCUCUCCUCAGCCAGUGGGUGUUUGUCGCGUUUCCGCGCGUCCUCUCCUCAGCCAGUGGGUGUUUGUCGCGUUUCCGCGCUUCCUCUCCUCAGCCAGUGGGUGUUUGUCGCGUUUCCGCGCUUCCUCUCCUCAGCCAGUGGGUGUUUGUCGCGUUUCCGCGCUUCCUCUCCUCAGCCAGUAGGUGUUUGUCGCGUUUCCGCGCUUCCUCUCCUCAGUCAGUAGGUGUUUGUCGCGUUUCCGCGCUUCCUCUCCUCAGUCAGUAGGUCUUUGUUUCCGCCCUUACCCUCCUCAGCCAGUAGGUGUUUGUCGCGUUUCCGCGCUUCCUCACCUCAGCCAGUGGGUGUUUGUCGCGUUUCCGCGCUUCCUCUCCUCAGCCAGUGGGUGUUUGUCGCGUUUCCGCGCUUCCUCUCCUCAGCCAGUAGGUGUUUGUCGCGUUUCCGCGCUUCCUCUCCUCAGCCAGUGGUGUUUGUCGCGUUUCCGCGCGUCCUCUCCUCAUUCAGUAGGUGUUUGUUUCCGCACUUCCUCUCCGCCGCCUUCCCAUCUCCCCCACCAAACUUCUUGAAAGAGCGGGUGACACUCACCAUCUCCAUGUCCUCCUGCGCUAAGUCGCUCAGUCAGUCUGCCUCUUUGAGACCCCAUGGACUGCAGCCCACCAGGCCCCUCUGCCCAGGGAUUCUCCAGGGGAGAACACGGGAGUGGUUGCGUGUCCUCCUCCAGGGCGUCUUCCCGGCCCCGGCUCGAACCUGCGUCUCACGGCUCCUGCGCCGGCGGCCGGCUCUGCACCGCUAGCAGUACCGCGCUCAGCCCCAGGCAGUGCGGAGGGGCUCUUCUCUGCCUCUGAGGACGAAGCUUGGCCGGGGUGCCAGAGGCCUCUGGGGCCUCAGCCGUGCAGUCUGUUGCCUUCAGCCUUCCCCAGGGCUUGUCUGUGUCAUUGUGAGUGGUUGGUCAUCCUCUCUCUGAAGAAUUUUACUGUCCUGGAGCCUUUGACGCUGGCCUCCUGGUCCCCUCUGACCUGUCACCAUUGAUUGCCUCCCGUCUUCCCCUUGGUCUCCCUGGCAUGCCUCAUCUACCCCCAUGGCUUCCCCAGCUUCAUACACAUCUAUAGCCUGUUUGGGUCUUUCUCCUAAAUGCCACCCUUCUCUACAGCAUCUCUCCGCUCUGCGGUCUCAUGGAGCCUCUUCAAGUCCACGAAUUCAGACUGAGCGUCUCCUCCCUUCCCCUCCUAGGCCCACUCCUCUGCCAUUGUCCACCGCUCAAAUGGGGGUCCCUCGUUGUCCAAGCCAGACAGGACAGAGUCACCCUGGACAGAGCCAUCAUCCCCUUUUACUCAUGACACCUGGUCAGUCCCCAAGUCCUGCCCCCUCCCUGCCUCACGCACCCCCUCCCUGCCACGUGCACUUGCCAGUGUCUCCAGGCCAGCUCAGUGUCAGUCAGGACCGCCCCACGGUGACUCCGGUCCCAGCUUUCUGUGAGUCUCAUUUGAGACCAGUACUACCCACCCCCAGGCGCCCUGUAUCCGUCCUGUAUCAAAUGGUCUUUCUAAAAUGCAGUGCAAUCAUGCAGAUCUUUUUGAAAGAGUCCACAGUGGAUUCCUGUUUUUUCCUUUUGAGAACAAUGUUGAUGUACACAGGAGCUCUGGAUUUGCCCUUUACCUCUGCCUUCAGUGUGAUCUCUUAUCAGUCACCCACUCCCUCUCCAUGUAUGAUGCACAUGUGAUGCACACCGUACUCAUGCAGUGUGUAAAUUCAGGCAUGUGAAGCUAUUUCCUCACCUUGACUUUCCUCCGUGUCCUUCUCUUGGGUCUGGUCUGACUUCUAUUUUUUCUUAGACUCGGCUGGCAGCCCCUCUCCUGGAGACCACCCAGGCCAUCAGCUCCUUAUCCUCCAGCAGGGUGGGUGGUCCUCUCCUUUUCUCCCAGAGUUUCCUCAUCUCUUCUGUCAGAGCAUUUACCAUUCUUUGUUGCAAGAGUCUGCUUGCUUGUCCGUCCUCCACUGGUCUGUAGGCUCCUCGAGGGCAGGAUCAGCUCUGUCUGUCCUCACGUCCUUUGAGCCUGUUCUCUGGACCCAGGGGGGACGCUUAAUGCUUUUAUGUGAAUUCUUGUACAAUUCUGGUCAGUGACAAUGAUCUUCAGGCGUUGAAUAAGGUGACAGAGAUACAAUGUAUAAUACAACAUGUAAAGAAUGAAAAAUGAAUGUCAACCCUGAUUAUCAGGGACAGGCACAGUCUUCCAAGUAUUUAACAAGUGAAGGUGUAAACUUUCUGGGUGUUUGAGAUAACCCAAGCGAGGUGGACUUCUUUUGUUCUGGCCGCGCAGCAUGUAGGAUCUUAGCUCCCUGACCGGGGAUUGAACCUGUGCCCCCUGCAUUAGAAGCUCAACGUUCCAACUCUGGGACGGCCAGGGGAGUCUCAAAGUGGGCCUCUAAGAGAGCCCUUUGAUAAACUGACAUUGAAGAAUCAAGCUGGCAUGUUUUGACACCAGAAGCAAGGCUCUGAAGGGACCAGCAGAUGAAAUUUCUGAGGCCUGCUAGAGUGAUGGAGGCUUUGGAGACUAGAGAUGAAAAACUUCAGAUUGAUUUUCUAAAGAAACACGUGCAUUCAGAACUCUAUAGACAGAGUGACGGUGACAUUCUAAUAGGGAGCUAUUUAACUGCAAAUUGUUCUUUGAACUGUUUGGAGACACAGUACAUUACUGUGAGAUCCAAACAUACAUUACCUUUUAGAAAAAAAUGUGUCAUAUACACCACAUGGUGCUUUUUGUAAACUUUCAGGAGGUUCGUCCAAGCCUACUCCUGGGCCCCCUGGCAUGGUCAUGAACCUCAGGUUCAGAAUCUCUAAUCAAAGAUGUUAUUCAUCCAGCAGGCAUUUGGGAGAGUAGGUGGUGAUCACCAGAGCCCACUGCAGUCCAAGAACGCACCUUUUCUCUUUUGGGAGGGUCCCAGUGGACUGGGUGCCGUUGAACUUGCAGUGGCAACUCUGGAGGUCAUGUCCCUGCUUGAGCACUCAUGAGCUGCAUGACUUUCUCUCUGAGCGACUGUUUUAUUAUCUAUUAAAAAAGGAUAACUAAAAUAAAGUUUAUGAAAGGAUUAACAUCUGGAAUGUAAUUGUACUCAGUUUACCUAAUCAAUUCAAAAACCGUGAUUUUAGGAAGGGCCCAGAUCUCGUGACAUGCUCCUGCAUUAGAAGCAUGCAUGUGGGCUGCAUCAAUGACUGUCCGAACACAUUCACUAAAGCAUAGCUGAUCGGCAGAUGGACCUCUUUAGAAGGUGUGCUCCUGGGUCCAUCUCCACUCCUGUUUUAUUCAAUAUUAUUAAUAUCCAGGAAGGCAUAGCACACUACUCAUGUUUGCUCAGAGACAAGGCUUAAUUAAGGAUUAGGAAUCCAGAAGUUAGCAAUAAGUUGUACACUUUGAUAUUUUAUCUUUGGAAGGAGUGUGCAAAAAUAGAUGCAAAAUGUAUCGUGUGUGCCCAAAAUCAUUUGCAAAUUAUUGUGUGUGUGACACAGAGAGAGAGAGAGCACGCAUGCUCGAGCACAGAAGAAGGAAAGUUAAAGACGGAAGUGGUGGCUUCAUAUACUUACAGUGUAGGAAUUUAAAUGGACAAUAAAAUCCAUCAUGAAAUUUUCUGCUAAAAUAAUGUUCGGUUUUAUUAAAAGAGGUGUGGAAUAUAGAACAUGUAAGGCAAUUGUCACUCUAAUAUGUGUUAUGCAGACCACAUUUAGAACAAUUGCAUAUAGUUCUAGGUGCUAGAUAUGAACUCAUUAGCAUUUUUUGAGCACAUGUAUGUAUGUGGUGGUGGUUUAGUUGCUAAGUUGUCUCCAACUGUUUGCAACCCCAUGGGCUGUAGCCUGCAAGGCUCUUCUGUCCAUGGGAUUUCCCAGGUAAAAGUACUGA